AUGUGCUGUAUCUCCAUUCUUUUUUCUUACUACUAUUUUUUGAAUACACUUAAACUUUAUAGCACGUAUCUGCAACGCCAUCCAGAAGUUAUCACUUGCAAGAUGGUGAUUUUUACAGGAUCCCAAGCACCAUUCAAAAUUAUAUUCAUGAUAAGAUGCAAAUUGAACACACUAAUAGGCUACUCAUGUUUUUUUAGGGGAUCAACAAGUGAGCCCUUGAUAUCGUGCGUUGUUGUUUGUCUGCAGGUUCUUGCAUUGGAUUGUACCUUUGUUUCGCCUUUUGCCUUGCAUAUAAUUGAAAAUUUGAAAUUUGUGUUGCCUUAUGUCGAACUAGAUUGCUCAUGCUAG
rnacentral:rRNA from 1 species